rnacentral:rRNA from 1 species
AUUCCAGCUCCAAUAGCGUAUAUUAAAGUUGUUGCAGUUAAAACGCUCGUGGUCGGAUUUCAGGGCGGGCCGACCGGUCUGCCGAUGGGUAUGCACUGGCCGGCGCGUCCAUCCUCGGGGAAAACAUGUCUGUGAUUCAGUUCAUGGGCAUGGGAUCCUCGUCAUUUACUGUGAGCAAAAUAGAGUGUUCAAAGCAGGCUUAUGCCGUUGAAUAUUUUAGCAUGGAAUAAUAAGAUAAGACCUUGGUCUAUUUUGUUGGUUUGUACUCCAAGGUAAUGAUUAAUAGGGACAGUUGGGGGUAUUCGUAUUCAAUUGUCAGAGGUGAAAUUCUUGGAUUUAUUGAAGACGAACUACUGCGAAAGCAUUUACCAAGGAUGUUUUCAUCA